rnacentral:rRNA from 1 species
UCAGGAUGAACGCUAGCUACAGGCUUAACACAUGCAAGUCGAGGGCAGCAUGGAACUUAGCUUGCUAAGUUCUGAUGGCGACCGGCGCACGGGUGAGUAACACGUAUCCAACCUACCGUUUACUACGGGAUAGCCUUCUGAAAAGGAGAUUAAUACCGUAUGGCAUUCUAAGGUUUCAUGACAUUAGAAUUAAAGGUUUACCGGUAAUCGAUGGGGAUGCGUUCCAUUAGAUAGUAGGCGGGGUAACGGCCCACCUAGUCAACGAUGGAUAGGGGUUCUGAGAGGAAGGUCCCCCACAUUGGAACUGAGACACGGUCCAAACUCCUACGGGAGGCAGCAGUGAGGAAUAUUGGUCAAUGGACGAGAGUCUGAACCAGCCAAGUAGCCGUGAAGGAUGACUGCCCUAUGGGUUGUAAACUUCCUUUAUAAAGGAAUAAAGUGGUCCACGUGUGGAUUUUUGUAUGUACUUUAUGAAUAAGGAUCGGCUAACUCCGUGCCAGCCGCCGC